rnacentral:rRNA from 1 species
UACAGAGGGGGCAAGCGUUGUUCGGAAUUACUGGGCGUAAAGGGCGCGUAGGCGGCCUUCUAAGUCGAACGUGAAAUCCCUGGGCUCAACCCAGGAACUGCGUCCGAUACUGGAAGGCUUGAAUCCGGGAGAGGGAUGCGGAACUCCAGGUGUAGCGGUGAAAUGCGUAGAUAUCUGGAGGAACACCGGUGGCGAAGGCGGCAUCCUGGACCGGUAUUGACGCCGAGGCGCGAAAGCCAGGGGAGCAAACGGG